AGGCGGUUAGUUUACUUAAAACAUUUGAUUUCGGCUCAAAAGACUGUGGUUCGAGUCCGCAAUUGCCUA
rnacentral:tRNA from 1 species